CAGGGCCAGCUUGUGGUAGGGAGCGCACGUCUUAUGUAGUGACUGCUCGGGGGUUAAUGUGAGACUUGGAGCUAAAUCGACAAUCGAGCCCCUUCUUCCUUGGAGUGCUGUGGAGUCCACUGUUUGGCAAGUUUGGCCCUUGGCCCGAGUGACACCUGAGACUGGAUAGUCUCAGUCCUGAGGGCCAUCCCACGCAUUGGAGGCUGUUUAGCAGCGUCCCUGGCCCCUACACCCUAGAUGCCCAUAGCACCCCUCUCCCCAGUCAUGGCCUUCAAAUAUGCCCCCAGACAUUGCCAAAUGCCCCCUGGGGACAGGUGCCCAAAUUGUCCUCCAUGAGGAACCAGUGGUUUACAUUAGGAGUCCCAACUUUGGCAACUCCAGAAAUCCCUUUAAUUGGCUCUCCCUCCUUGUGAGAAAGUUUUUCAAUUGAACAAACAUCGUUUGCUAAGUAUUCAUUUCUCCGCUUUCUUGCUUAAAAAUAUCCGCCAGUUGGAGUUUCCGGUCUGUGUUACUAGGCUGAGUUGAUUUCAUUCAGGCCGGUAUCAAGCAAAGAAGCUUGAUGUUUUAGGUGCCAUCUGUGGCCUGACUGAAAAGGAAGAUGCGGGUUCUGGUAGACUUCUUGACCAGUUGAAAAAUAGCGUGAAGACCCCCAUUGGGGAAUCCUGAGACCCAGUUGGACUCACUGGUAUAAACUUCACAUUCACCGUUUACAGUCAAGGAUUUGGGUCAAAUGUCCCUGGAAGAAAGUUCCUUUGAACCUCCUCUGCUCCGGCAGCUGCCAUCCUGUCUUCCCCCCAUUUGGCCAUGAGCAGUGAUACCAUUCCACAUGUAUUUAUUCAGCGCUUGCCACAGGCCUGGCCCUUCCCUGGGCGUGAGGGUGCUGCGGCAUGCAGAUGACAAGCAGGAGGCUAAGAAAGAAAGAAUCGAAUCUCCGGAGGUGCUAAGUGCUAAGAGGGAGGUGGUUUCUGGAAUUACAGGACCCUGUAAACAGUCAGGUGGCCCUCUCUCCGGCCCUGCCCUCUGCUCGGUCCUAGCUCAGCCCCCUUCAGGAUCAAUUCAUGUUCAUUGACAGGGCCCAGCUCCUGUUAGUUGCCUCAUGGGGGACAAAGUCCUUUAUCACUUAGAAGAACAGGCGCUGUGGCAGGCUGUGGCCUGCUCAUCGAGAGGCGUUUCUGAGAAAUGUUGAGGGUGCGUCUCACUAGGGGCCGUGAAAGGACGCUCCGCAGGGACCUUGAGCCUGGCCUGGUUGACGGAGCACCCUGUGACUGACAUCGUGUUCUGCAGAAGGAAACAUGGCAGUUCUCUCUCCCUCCACACAAGUCUUCAGCCAAGGCUUGGAACACAGAAGGGACCUUAUAGCGUGUGAGGCUUUGUGCUCAGGUCCUGUCAGAGGGAGGAAAGGGACACAGGAGGCCAGGGAGGGAAACUCAGCCCCCUUGCCAAGUGUCCCCCGGCACCAUGUGUCCGCCCCUCCCCUUGGCCACUGGGAGGCUUUCCUUCUCCUGCCACAAUCUUACACCGGGUCUUCUUUCUGUCUUUGUUCCCUGGAUUCCACCCACCGUGGGUGUAUGAAAUGGUAGCUGCUUGGCAGCAUCCUCCAAGAGGGUGCUGUGCACCUGCACAGGUUCCCGCCCCUCCUCCUUUCUCCCUCCCUCCCUCCUCCCAUCUCUCCUUACCUGCUGGCCACCUAAUUCUUUUCCUUUCCUAAUUCUCCAGUUCGGAGAACAAUCCACACCAGCUGCCUUGCGGAGCCUUUCAAAGACACAAAUCCCAGCCUGUGCCCUCCUCUCCUUUAGUUAAUACCCUUCAGUGUCGUCACCCCCCCCCCACCCCCAUUAUCCUCAAGUUAAUGCCCGAAUGUCUUCAUGGUCACUGCUUGGCUUAUGAGGCCCCAGUGGGUUCUGGCUGGGCUUCAGGAAGUGCCCCGUCUGGACACUGGGAAUUGGACAGCCAGCCCCGAGGGGAAAAGUGGUCUAGCCACAAAGAGCAGGAAAGACUCAAGGAUUCAGUGGUUCAGAGGGGGUCGUGGUAGGGACCAGUGGGGCCAUUGGAGCCUUCAAACUGGAUCUGACUUGUGUUUUAACCAGAUCGUUGUGGCUGCUGUGCUGAAAAUGGACUGAAAGUGGCAAAGGUGGAAACAGAGAGCCCAGAUAGGAGGCUGUUGCGGGAACCCGGGGUACUGCAGAAAUCCGGGAAUGGGUGACGUUGGUCUGGCCGGUGGUAGCAGAGGACGUUGUAAGAAGUGAUCAGGUAUGAAUGUGUUGUGCAGGUAGAAUUGGAUAUGGGGUUUGAGAAAAGAGGUGAUCCCAAGGCUUUCUCUCGAGCAAGUAGAGAAGGAAGUUUCCAUUUGUUCAUGCUGGGAUCAAUACGAGCAGGGGGGGUUGUUUUGUUGGUUUGUUUUACGGGUAGGGGUGGAAUUGUUUCGCUUGAGAUGUUCGUCAGACAUCCAAAUGGAGAUAUCCAGGAAGCAGCUGGAUAUCUGAAUCUGGAGUGUGAAGGUGAAUUUUAUGUGCCAAGUUGGCUAGCCCACAGUUCCCAGACAUUUGGUCAAACAAUAGUUUGGAUGUCGAAGCCUGUGUUUUGGAUGAGAUUAGCAUUUCCAUCAGUAGAUUGAAGGUAAAGCUCUGUACUGUCCAUAAUGUGGGUGAGCCUCCUCCAACCAGUUGAAGGCCUUAAGAGAAAAAGACUGCAGUUUCCCAAGGAAGUGAGAAUUCUGCCUGCAGACUGUCUUCAGCCUUGAGCUGCAACGUGAACUCUUCUCUGAGUCUCCAGCCUGCUGGUCCACCCUGCAGAGCAUGGACUGGCAGCCUCCACAACUGUGUGAGCCAGUUCCUUGAAAUCUCUCUCUCUCUCUCCAUAUAUAUCCCAUUGGUUUUGUUUCUGUUUUUCUGGAGAACCCUGACUAAAUACAUGGACUAAAGGAGAGAUAAAUACUUGGGUACAUAUUUGGGAGUCAUGUUAUUUAAUCUUUGCCAUUGGGUGUGAUCACCAAGAGGGCGAGUGUGGAGAUAGAGGAGCAGUCCAUUGGGCUAUCCAACACAAGUCAAGAAAUUCAGAAACUGUUUUCGGGGUGUGUGUGUGUGUGUGUGUGUAACAUUUACUGAGCUCUUACUCUGUACCAGGGAUUCUCCAUUUCUGGAUGCUGCCUCUUCUUAAAACCAGAGCUGUCUAUCUCCUUAUUUGUUCUGGAAGUUUGGGAAAUGAUCCCAAUGGGGCCACCUAUUUAUUUGACUGAUGUUUUGCAACUCCUGUGUCUCAGCCUGUCCCGAGUUCUGGGCAGCAGAAUGGCAUCAGCCUUUCCUUUUCAGAAACCAAUGAUUCCGGCAUCUUCCUUCCAGGCCAUUUUCCGUUCCCCUAACCUCUAGCCUCUUGAAACCAUUUAGCAUCUCUUGAUACCAAGUCAUCCCAUUUAUUAAAAUGUGUGGAGCCUCCUUCCUGGCAAGUGGUGGUGAGAAUAGUUCUGCAGCCCCAAGGGAUAGAGUCAUUGGAACUUAGUGACUUGAAGAACGUUUGGUGUGAAUAAUGAAAAGUGCGGGACCGUGCUGCUGCAUCGCCCUCACCCACUCUGUUCCUUGUUUUCUUUGUGAGACAGAAUGUUUAGUCCAUAUUUUCCAAGAACUGUGGAGGUGGGUUGUUGGGGACAAUUGAUUUUUAGGGAAGUAUUGUUCUGUAUGUGGAAACCAUGAGGCAAACAAUAACAUUGAGCAAGACCUGUCCCGAUGACUGGGCCUGGGCAAAUGGUGGUGCCAAGUGUUUGGGUCACUGUGUGGUAUAAGGCAUCACUUCUGCCUGCAGUGGAUUUUGCUCUGGACUCAGCGUGACCCUGGGAGCUUUGUUCUAGCCAAAUGUCAGAUGGAUCAUCUACUUUCUAAGGCUGUGAUUGAUUCUAAAUUAGAGGAGGUGUACCCUGGCAGGGAGGAGGGUCACAGGUCUGUGUGACGAACACUGAGUUCUGGUUCUCAUCCUGCCCCUGGCUUGCUGUGUGAACUUGAGCAAGCCUCCUCACCUCUCUGAGCAGCAGUGUCUUCAUCCAUGAUGAGUUUGGUCCAGGUGGUCUGAGAAGGGUGAGCCUGUGGCCAGUGGGAGGGUACCCACCCUGAAGAAAGGGCCAGCCCUCCCUCAGCAUCCAACUAGCUUGUCAUGCUGUGUGAGAUCAGUGCUGCCAAAUAAAUCUUUGGACUUUGUAAUGAAAUGAAAUUUCCUGAAUUUUAGAUGUGGGCAGUGAAUUCAGAAAUAUUUAAAACAUCCUGUGGGUGAAACCUGUAGCCAAAUAGAUCCCCAAAGUCUUCCGUUUGCCACUCAGGGCGACUGCAUUGUUCCUCGUGGUUUAUCACAUGCUGGGGGGCCAGGAGAGGGCGGGAAGCUCAUUUGAUUUAUUUUGUCUUGAAAUCACUACAAGUUUUUUCAAGGAACUGGGUGAGCAAAGCCAGACUGGAAAUCAGGUCACAGGAUCGCUGUUGCCUAGAGACUGGAGAGGGGACCAGGCCUUCUUUCCUUGUGGGUGGAAGUGUCAGCCUGAGGCAGUGGACUCUGUUCAGCUCGUCUCCUUGGGAUUUAUCCCUGGGUCCAGCCAUAACCAGCCUUCUCUCUGGCUCUGUGGACUAUGUGACAUUCAGAGUUGGAGGGAAUCAAAUAUUUCCACGUUUUAUUAUUUUUUGCUCAGCAAUAUAUCUUUUAGACCUUCUGUGUGUGUGUGUGUGUACACACACCUCAUUCUGUUUUAAUCACUGCAUAGUAUUCUAUAGUUUUUUCAACUGUUCUGUAUUAAUGGACAUUUUGCUUUUUUCCAUUUUCCCCUUUUAUUUCUACUUCCCCUAAUGUCAUGUCAUAGAAUUGAUUUUAUUCACCCUACAUGCCACACCUUCCUCCUUCUUUUCCUUCCUGUCUUCUUCCUUUUCUCCUUCCCUUGCAUCCAUCCAUCUUUGGAUCCAUUCAUCAGGCAGCUAUCCUUACAGAUGCUAGAUGGAUGGGGUGGAACCCUGGGGCCAUUCCUUGGCCUCCUGGAGCUCCAACCAAUGGGAAACCAGAGAAGAAGCACACGAUGGGAUUCCCUGGAAGCAGGUUCCUCAACAGUCUUUUUGAAGGAGCUCUUUCUGGCCUUUUCGACUGUAAGGUUCUCUGAGGCGGGUAUUGCUCUUUCAAAGGAGGAGUUGGCCUUUGGACCAUUACCAUGUCUGCUUCCCGCGACCUUCCUGGAUCUCCAUCGGCUGCCUGCUCUCCCCUUUUUCCCAUUGCGAGGGCCUGUGGCUUGAGCAAAACAACACCAUGGUUGGCUCCAGAAGGUUGGCCGUGAGAAGGGGCUAGUGGGAUGGCUUUUCCACUGGCACAGGAGAGAGAACUGUGAACAAAGUUUCUAAUCGGAAGUCAGUCUGAAUUGGACACAGAACCUCAGUCUCCUGCCUUGGAGGAAAUUAAGUAAAGAUGAAUCAAAAGGAGUAACUGGGGCGUGUGUACCAGAGACAAGCACAGAGAGGGGGAACAACCUAUGGUCAACGUUCCUUUGUUUUCCAUUGGGUCCAGAAUGUGCGUCUUGUGCCAGGAGCUGGGUCUGUGCUUGGCUCUCCUUCCGUCCUCUGCACUUUAUGCUUCUUUUCUUGCGGGCAUCUCGACAGUGGUCACAGUCCUGAUCUACAGAGCAUCGCUCACCAGCACGUGGAGCUCUAGGAAAGCACAGUUCAGAGUUUGGGCUUCAGGGUCUGACCACCUGCUCUGCCUCAGUCACCCCAACAAGUCAUUUAAACUUCGUGUCUCAGUUUUGUCCUGUGUGAAAUGGGGAAAGUGUCACUGACUUCCUCCUAGGGGUGUCGGAGAGGGUAAAAUGAGUUGUUCUGCAUGAAACAUCUGACCUAACCCUGGAACAGUGCCCAGUGCAUAGUAAGUGCUCAGUAAAUACCACACACACACACACGCACACGCACACACACACACACAGAUCACAUGUCUCCUUCUCAGGGAGGCCUUUCUUUCCUGGCCUCACACCCCCAUCUCCCCUUCCCUCUUUAUUCGUCUCCACAGCACUUACCGCCGUCUGACCCACUUGUUUAUUUCUUUGUUGACUCUGCCCCCUACCCCUCAUGAGCCCCCACAAAUACAGAGAUUUCUGUUAAUUUUUUUUAAUGCUUUAUUCCCUGGAACGUGGGUAGGUGCCUAGGAAAUAUGUAUUGAAUGGUUGAAUCUCUGUUUUAGAGAUGACCCUCCAGGUCAUGACUCGGGCACAGAGAGGUAAGGUAACUUGCUCAGAAUCACCCAGCUACUCGCAGUUGGCAAAUCUGAAUUAAUGCCUCCCUGCUGGUAAAACCAAAACCAAAACAAAACCAAGCAUAGUGCCUGCCACAUGGGGAGGACUCGUAGAUGUUACAUAAAAUAAUGAUAAUAAUGCUGGCAACUACUGCCCCUGCCCAGGACACCCCGUUUCACUGUCCCCCAGUUUUUCUGGGUGAGCACUGAGUCUCAAACAGGAGAAGCUGUCCUGAGAGGGUUACGUGGGGGGCGCCCAGGCCUGUGGGCAGUGGCUGCACCUGGAUUAAAAUGGGUUCAUGCCCCUUCUAGAGGGCUUCCCAAUCUGAGGAGAACCGGGGUUCCGUAGAAACAUCAGGGGGCUCACGUGGUGCCCAUUUCCAGACUCAGUGGCAGCUUUGGAAAUGUGCCAGUUUCCCCUCCUUUCACUGGCUGUUGGGCAUUCCCUGAGCCCUCAGCGGUGCUGCAGGGUCCUGAUGGACAGGAAAUUGUUUCUGAUCUGGACCUCGUCCCAGCUGUCCCCCAGUAGGUUUUAUUGUUCCCAUUUUUUAGAUGAGGACACUGAGGUUCUGGAAAUGUAAAUACUGAGGCCGAGAUUGGAACGCAGGCCUGCUAGGUCCCAGUGCCUCAUACCCCUGCUCUGCUCCUCAGAUGCUGUUAUAUUUGGGUUCUGACUCUUAAGCGUUUAUUGAGCAAUAUGUAUAGGCUGAGUGCCGUGCCUAAUUUUUUUCUUGUUUGCUUAUUAUGGUUUUUAAGCUGUUUUCUCCAAACAAGGGCACUGUGUUUGUCAGAGGUAUGCGGGGGAGGAGACCUUGUGACCCUCCGGAUGACAGCAGUGAGCCAUGGGGAGGGAGCCCAAUUGUCAGAGCAGCACUGCUCUGGAUUCAAAUACAAGCCCAGCCUCUUGGUUGCUGUGUGAUCUGUGUCCAAAAAUCAACUUCUCUGAGCCUCAGUUUUCACAUCUGUAAGAUGCAGUGAGUACCCUUCCUUGGAGGGGACACUGAGCAGUUGAGAUAUUAAAUAUAAAAUAUGAAGCUUGCUGCCUGGUGCGUCGUUGGCCAUCAGUGAGUGGUGGCUAUUUUAUGAUGACGAUAGUGAUAAUUACUAUUAUGAUUGUAUUUUAAUACAUAGCAUUGUACCUAAAUGUCACUUCUGUGUUUACCUUCCGGAUCUUUGUCACUCCUGAGGGUACAGACUGAGCCUUAUUCAUCUCAGCAUCCCCGCCUUCUCUCACAGCUCUUGGUGUGUGGUUGAUGUGCCCUUAUUGGAGGGCACAGGAAUGAAUGGAUGGAUGAAUACGGAAGUGGGCUGGUGGUCUGUGGAGCCCGCUCUGGCCAGUUGUUGGGGGCUGCGUUUCCUGGAGUCUUAUCCUCUCUUGUCAGAUUCAGACCGGGACAACGGUAAGGUCGUUCCAUUGUUCCCAGAUAACAUUUCCUAUCUUAACGUCUCCACGGGGCAGCCCUGGGCCACACCCUGCCCUCCUGGCCUAUCACUGAGCCCCCUUUGGACCCUGCCGGCUCCAUUCCAGCCUGAUUUGAAGAAAGCUUUCCUGCGGGGGCCCUGCUCCUCGUCUCCUCCCUUCCCUCAGUGGCAACAGUGGCUUCAGGGGGCAUCUCUCUCUCCAGAACUUUUCAUGUUCCAGUGAGGACCUGAAAAACACGUUAAAUCAAGACACUUUACAUUAGCCGGGCUCUUCAUAGCCUGACCGACAUCUUCCCCCUUCUGCCUCGCAGUCACCUUGUCUGAUGGUCAGUCAGUUCUUACCCCUAGUUGAACUUGGGAGAAACUGAGUCUCAAAGUGGGUGGGACUGCUACCAAUGUGGCUGGUUAGUGAGAGAGCCCAGGACCACUGCUAGCUCUCUGCGCCUCACCAGUGCUUUUGCUACCAGUUCCCACGGGGUGUGUUCGUUGGUUGGCUAUACCCUUCUCUAUUUCCAGAAGAUGUUUGAGGGGUAUGUCACAAUUUUCAUGAUCCAGGGCACUUUCCAGUCUGUUAGCUCAGGGUGACAUCCCAGCUGCCCCGUAAGGUGUCAAGGUAUCCGGGCAUCACCAGACCCGCCCUGUUGGUGAGGAAAGCAAGGCCUGGAGAGCCCGUGGCUUCAGAUUACACAUCUCGGGGUGGCAGCCCUUUCCCUUCUGCCAUGUCUCUCUCACCUGUUGAAUUUGACUCUUAGAUCAGCUGUUCUCGAACUGGAUCUAACGUUAGAAUCACCUGAGGAAUUUUAAAAAUCUUGCUGCCGGGACCGACCUGCAAAGAUGCUGACUUAAUUGUCAGGAGCAGGGGGGUAGGGAGGCGUUAUAGCAUCUCGGCAGGUGAUUCUGCUAUGCAGCAACGCUGAGAACCACCGUCUUAGAUCUUCCCUGUAACAGGGAUGUUGGGAGCCGACAUGAAACCAGGAAUCCUCAAACUCGAUCUUAGACCGUAGUGCCAGCCUUCCUAAAGCAAACCUGGGCUUAACUGUAUGCCCUUCUGCUCAGACUCAUGGCAGCUCAUGUCCCAGAAGAACUGCUGUGCUGAUAGAGGAAGCUGGGGAGCAAGGGAGAUGGGAGCAGUCCCCAGAGCCAUCAUGUGUUGUGUGCUGGGCACUGUCCUCAGCACCUUACAUAUGUUAACUCAUCCAAAUCCCGAUCCACACACUAGCACUAUCUCUGAUAUCAUCCCAUUUCACAGAUGAGAAGACUGUCCAUGGAGUAGAUCAGUAACUUGCUCAAGCUGGAGGGGCAGAGCUGAGAUUUGAAGAGAGCGAGCUGGCUUCUGCAGGAUGAUCUGGGAACCAUGGCACACUGCUUCCUACAUGGCUGGGAAUUUGCUCUCCCCAGUGGAUCUUUCAUGGUGAUGCUGGGGCAUAGCUCAUCUGUCACUCUGCUGCUCAGGAGCCUCUGUGCCUCCCCAGCGCAUCUGUAGGAGGAAGGCAGACUUCUUAGCACAGCACAUGAGGGAUGCCCUUUACAGCUGACCGCUGGCAGGCCGUCCCUCCAUAUUCCAUGUUACACAAGCUGUUACUGCUCCUCUUUCUUGCCUAGUGAACUCCUAUCUUCAAUACCCAGCUCAGCUAUCCUCUUCUCUAACUCAUGCAGGAAAAGCCAGUGACGCCUGCCUUCCUCUUUGUUCCCAGAGCUCUUGAUCCCUCCAUCUGUGACCACAUAGAUCACAGCCUUUUCUGCAAUAUCCUCCAGUGAAUCAUGAGUUCCUCUAGGAAUGGGCUCUGCCUUACUCCUGUUUGUUCUCCUCCCCUCAGCGUCUAUAGCAGUGUUUUCGUUGGAUGGCCACCUCUCACACGUAGGAUGACCUCCUUUACCUUAGAUUCCACAGUAUUUCAGGCACAGUAACACGUUCUCUUUAUCUUCCAUCAGAGGGUUCUUCCUCUCUAAUGGAUGCUUUCCUUCAAGGUGCCUGGGGCUCCACAUUGCAUCAUGGACAUUUACUGUGUGUUCCUCAGCCGGGCUGUGAUUUUGGAGGAGUCCCGAGCUCCCUGGAGGUUUGCCUCUCCAGCCUUGGGCUCUCUGCAUUCUUCAACACCUCAGGGUCCAGAAGGAAAAGAGCAAAGCUAGCCAGCUCUGGGAACGGCCCGGGUGAAGAGAGGUGGGCGUCUCGCUUAGUGUUGGGCUUGAUUCCUGAACUGAGCUGCCCCGGGUGAGGCGAGGCAGAGGCGGGAGGAGUGGAUUCUUGGUGACUAGAAGUGAAAUAUGUGUGUUUCCUCAUGUGCUCUUGUGGAAAUGCCAGCAGCUGCUCACCAAGAAGUAUAGCGAGGCCCUCUGAGGACAGGCCCCCAGGGUCCGAAGAGGAUGGGCACACGGGGAGCCACCAGCCUGCCGUGGCACUUUUGAGACCUGGCUGCUGUAGACUGAAGAGGACAGGAAAGUUAAGUUUAAAAAACCCUGGGUGAAUUCUAAGAAUUUAUCCUACAGAAAUGUGUGCAUAGGUUCGGAUGACGUGCAGUGCAUCAUCUCAACGUUGUUUGAAAUAGCAAACGAUGAGACACGAUCGAUCGAUUGAUUGAUUGAUUGAUUGACACACAAUGCCUGGUUUUUAAUCCAAUAAUAGAUUACCGGAUGUGUAAAGAUACAGAAGAGUGUGGCCUAAACUUAGGGGAAAAAGUAGUGAAUAGAAAACAGAAUAGAAUUAAGAUUCCAGAGCUAAACUCACACUUGUGUCAUCAAUUUAUUUAUUUUUUUAUUAAAUAGACUAUAUUUUUUUUAGAGCAGUUUUAGGUUCACAGAACAAUUGAAUGGAAAGUACACAGAGUUCCCAUACAGCCCCUGUCCCCACAUAUGCCCAGCCUCCCCUACUAUCAAUGUCCUGCACAGGAGGGGUACGUUUGUUACAACUGACGAAUCUACCUUGGCACAUCGUUACCACCCCAAUCCAUAAUUUACAUUAGGAUCCACUCUUGGUGGUGGACAUUCUGUGAUACGUGUCUAAUGACACGUUUCCACCUUCGUAGUAUCAUAGUUUCACUGAUCUAAGAAUCCUCUGUGUUCCACCUGUUCAUUUCUUCUGAUGAAACAGGAUUUAAAUGCUCCUCAAUUGUUGAUUGGUUGACAAAAUUGUGAUACAUCCAUAAAAUGUCUGCACAGUAUUGACAGUACAGCUGUUAAAGAGAAGCAGUGGCUUUAUGAAGUGAUAUGGAACAAUCUUGAAGCUAUAUCACUAUCAAAAAGCAACAUCCACCUUAACGAUCUUGAUUUUAAAAAAGAAGGGCAUAGACCGUGUAGGGAGUGUGCCAACAGCUAACUAACACUAACACACAGCCACCUCUCCCAAAUCAGCUCCCUGUACUUCCUGCAUCCACACUUAACACAUUCUGUUGUUCCUGCCUCUUUGCUGACCUGGAAGCCCAGGGGACAGAGCGCUCCAAGAGGGCAGGACCUGGGCUGUCCAUUUGCAGCCAGAUGGCCGGGCACAUCCUAGCCUUUCCAUCGGUAUGUGUGAAGGCGUGAACGAAUGAAGAGAGUGGGGAGUUUCUUUCCGCAACUUCCUUCUGCCUGCUACUCCUCAAAUGCAGGAGGCUGGAGCAGAAGCCCCAGAUGUCCCUUCUCCCCCUCCUGGGUACUGUCUUUCCCCUCCCCUCCCCUCCCUUGAGUUUCUAUGCUGUGCAAGGCUUCCUCAUUAUUCCCCAGAUUACAGAGACACAGGACAUGGGGGAGAUGCUUGAAAUGGACCUUUGAGAGGAUAUGAUGUAGCUGACAUUGGCGGUUAAGUCAGGCAGAUCUGACUUAAUUGAUUAAUUUAGUUGUACUGGCCUAGCAAGGCAGCGGUUGGGAUCAGACUCCCCAUCUAACAGCAUGCUGGUGAGUCAGACCCAUGGGGUUUGAGUCCAGGCUCUGGCCGGGCUGCCUGUGUGACCUUGGCCAUGUGACUUAACCUUGCUGAAUCUCCAUUUCCUGAUCUGUAAAAGGAGGCUAAAAAUGCUCCUCUUGAGGUUGUCAUGAGGAUUAGAGGUAAUCACAUAAGUGCGAGUGCCCUUUGAGGAAAGACGAAGGUGACAGUGCUUGUUGUGGAGGGAGACAAGCGAGGAGGGCCUCCCGUGGCUCUCAGGUGCUCCUCCUUCCUGGGGGUGGAAAUCCCAACUUCAAGUCAGAAUAGGUUCUAAUUCAGCUCUUACUCUUUUAUUCAGCGCACUGCUCUUGGCCACCCAGGGCUUUCAACUUAAGCAAAUAAAUAAUCCUGCUCCGCCGGGCUCUGUGUUCUGCAGCCAGCCAUAUGUUUGAGGUUGAUAGAGAUCCUUAUCCAGCGGGUAAUAUUACCCAGCAAGGGAUGACAUUUCUUAUCAGAGGCCCUGCGGAAUCAGAGAUAGCGGGUCCUUUCUUUUUACCGGCAGCCAGGCCUCAAUGUUCAAGGGUGGCAGGCAGGGCAAGAGGGGCGGACCAGGGCCCGGGAGUGGGCAGCUUGCACUGCAGUGGGCAUCAGUCUGCCCUCAUCUCUUAAGACAGCUGCUCUCAAUACCCUGUCUUGUCAGAAGAAGGUCACUGUGAGAUUUCUGCAUAAGAUUGAGGCAGGGCAGGGCAGGGAAGUGUGAACUGAGGAGGGAGGCGGGGAGUGCCAUGAUGCUGGACCAGAAUGGGGUGGAGGCAGAGCGCUUGCCUCUGUGGGGCCUUGCGCUGGUACAGAGAGGCAGGUGGCCCCCUGCUACAGCACCAAGGUGGAGGGCAUCUGUGCUGUGGCUCUGCAGAGCGGAGGCAGCUGAGGCCAGAGUCUCGGCUGUGGGAAUGGUGAGGUGCUGGGUAACCUCGACGUCCCCUUCCAGGUCCCCCUGUCCUUUUCCACCCUGCCCUGUGCCCAGGAGGCCGACCUGUGUGGGUGCACCAGGAUGGAUGCCACAUGGGGCUCCUGUGCCCCUGGCUCUGUUUGGGAGGCACUGGCAGGAUGGGAGGGCAGGGAAGGAGUGAGGGCAGGGCAUUUAUUCUUCUGCUUCCUCCCUGCUGGGUUCUUGAUUGAUACAGCCAAAGUCUACACAGAGGCCCCUGCGUUGGAAUCCUGAUUCGGGCACGCACUUGCUGCGUGCUAUCAAGCAAGUUGUUCAACCUCUUUGCACCUCGGUUUCUUCCUCUCUGGUAUGGAGGUGACACCAUUUUUCUUGACGUCUCUCACCACUUGCCUCUGGGGCUCACUGAUCCUGGAGCGGGUGCACUGCUGGGUCCCCGAGGGCCCGUCUGAGGCCAGAGCUCACUGUACGUGAAGCCCAGUGUGGGCAGAGGAGGUCAGACUUGACCACCUGAUGCUGGGGACACGUGCUCAGUGCUCUCCCCUUCCUGAUUUUUGGGAAGUCCUGCCCUGUCCAGCCCUGCUCUCAAGUAGUAAUCUUGCUAUCAUCAGAAACGGAAGGAGAAGCGGUUUCUCCCUCUCCCUGGACCCCUUCCAGCCAGUGGUUCUGCCUCUGCUUCCUUCCUGUUGGCCCUACUUCUUGUUUCCUUCCAUCCCCCCUGCCUCUCCAGGCCUUCACGUUGAGGGUGUUGAGUUUUUCCCUCCCUCACCUCUCUUUCUGAUGGCCAAGUCGAAAUUCUGACAGCACUGCUCUGACCAUGUGCCUGUCCAGCAGUCGGUCAUUCAGACCUCUUAGCAUGGCAUUUAAGGCCCACCUCAUCGUGACCCGGCCCUGUGGUUCCAUGCUGGUCACCUUUGAACCUUCCUGUGGAGUGUCAGUCCUGGUAAGCAAGUCUCACUUUUGAACCUGCCAUUGUCUUCCAUUGACUUUCAUGCUUCGAUCUCAUCGUUUCUCCUUUGGUUGUCUGAGGGGUGCGUGGGCUCUAGCCACAGACAGGGCUGAGUUCCCCGCCUAGCUCCACCAGCUGCUGGCUCUGUGACCCUGGGCAAGUCGCUUCACCACUCUGAACCUCAGUGUCCUCAACUGUGACAUGGGCUAGCUCCUGCGCCAGGUUCUUGUGAGAAGCACAGUCUCAAGGCUCCUACUGGGGCGAGGCUCGUGGCAGGUCCUCUGUGAGUGGGGGCUUCUGUCUCUAACUGGCUGCCCUUCUGAUUAUCCAAAUGCCACCUGUGCUCAAGGUCCAUCCCAUCCUUUGCCUUUCCUCUGGGUUCUUCUGCUGGAAGUCAUCUUCCUCUGUUUGAAAGGCUCAGAGUGCCUCACGUCUGGACAGCGGGAAUGGACUGCUUCUCUUUCUGCCUCUGUCUGACCUUCCAGCAUCACAUGGAUUCCUUUAGGGCAUGGACUGUGGUGUAUGGUUCUCAGCUUGGCCACAGAACCCAUUGAUCUGGUGAUUGAGAAGUUGACCCCAAGGGAAUAGAAGAGCAUCAUUUGUUCUGUCAUUGAAUCAAAUUUGAUUGAGGGCACAUGAUAUGUUAGGUGUGUGCUUGGCACGGGAGUUACAAGGAGGUGUGAGAUGGAGACUGUCCUCACGGAGCUGGUCCUCCAGGGAGAAGGUCAUCCGGUUGUGUGUGCCAGGCGCAGACAGCAGCCCUAGAAAGAUGUGGGCCCCUACCCGUAGGUAGCUCAGAAUCUGAUGUGGGUUGUAGGGGUUUGGGGGGCAUUCUAUGACCAAGGAAAAGAUGCCUCCCUUCAGAUUGAUGCCCCCAUCCCCUCAGAUCAGAGAGGAUGGCGUUCCCUCUCCAGAUGCCACUAGUGACCUUAUCAGGUGAAGUUCCGAGGUCACCAGCACCUCUCUGUGUAGACCUACACAAAGCCUUGUUAGGUAAAGUCCACCAAGAGAGAUGUUCUAGAAUGUUCCAAGCUGGCUGAUCAUGAUGGUGCCUUGAACACUCAUGAUAGCUUGUCCAUGGCCAGGAAAGUGGGUGAGAACCAGCCAGCUGACCAUCUCGGCCAACUUGUGGAUCCUCUCCUCAUGAGCCUCAGGCAUCUGGGGCUGCGGUGGACAUUAUUUUCCCUCCACCACCAACACUCUUAUCCAAGUCACCCUCAUCUCCUGCCUAGAUUACAGCAACAGCUUCCAAAUUCCACUCCCUGGAUCCAGUCUUGCCUCUCUGCAAUCCUUUCUCCACUCAGCAGCCAGCGUGAUCUUUCUGAAGUGGUAAUCAAAUUGUGCUGCCCCCACAAACAUACCCAGGCCUUUCCAUUUCUGCUCUUGGGAUAAAAACCAGUAUCUACUGGACUUUGUGUGGAUUGACCCAGCUGUCUUUCUUCACUCAUUAUUCUUCAUCCACACUGACCUCUGCCAAGUGAUACAAAGCUAUCCCCUUCCCUCCCACCUCAGGGCCUUUGCACGUGUUAUUUCUCUGUUUGGAAUGCUCAUUCCCUCCAUUUUUUGAUGGUGAGUGCUUUCUUACCCUUCAGCUGUCCCCUUAUUUUUCUCCCACUGCAUUCUGCUUUUCCUUCAUAGCAUGAUCUAGAAUGAUACAUUUAUUUAUGUUUGCUUCACAUCUGUUGGUCCUAGAUGGACUGGAGGCAGUGGAUUUAUGAAACAGGAAGGGGUGAGGUCAGUUUGCUAGCUGGCUUUGAAGCAGACCAGAGGUUCUUUAGGAUGAUGAUAAUGCUCCUGAUUAAUUAUCAUAAUGAGUCUCCUUUUGUCCUCACUGUCCGUAUAGUGCUCCAAGCACAGGGGACUUGUCGGGCGACCAGGAGGACUGGAGUGGGCAGUCUGGGGCAGCCGGUCGGUAUCUCCAUGUGCCCAACUGGUUCCGUCCUUGCACUUGACAGGUCCCUCUGAUCUUCUCGCAUACAAUGGAUUGCAGGGAAAAAGAAACUUCCUGGCCUGACUGAUACCAAUUUGAAGGAAGCAGCUGCCUUUGGUGGGAGCAAGGAAACAAAAUCCAGCGAGAGUGAUAACCUCUCACCAAUCUGUGUUAAUUGAGGAACUGCGGGUGUGGGAACAGAGUGGUAUUAACCAAUAGGAGAAGAGCCCAGGUUUGGGGCUUCCUGGGUUUUAGAGGUUCCAUCAGUUUCUACGAAGUGAGUGAUGCCCUCUGUCCCCCAGUUUCUUUGUAGUGGCAAAGUGGAGUUCACUGGACAUUUCCCCCAGUCAAAAGUAGAUGACCUGUGCUGAAGAUGAAGCUAAAGAGAAUCUUGGAAAGAACUCGACAGUUCUUUGGACAUCACCAUGUGAGGGAAACUGAGGCCCAGAGAGGUGAAGCAUGGUCCAAGGCCACACAGCCAGUUGGAGGUGAGGAAACUACUGCUCAGAGAUGUGAAAUAACUCAGCAGAGGUCACACAGCUAAUAAGUGACAAACAGGAAUGUCCAAGCAGUGAAGGUCAUUUCCAGUCGCCGAGUCUUUCACAAGCCCAUGUCUGGACCGGGACAUCUCAUGUCUCAUCGUGAGCAGGAGACUGGAAAAUAACUGGCCGGAGGGGAUAGGCCCAGCAGUAACACUGGCCCAGAGAGAAUUGAGUGCUUUUUCCCGGUGACAAGAAGACACACGCAGCUGGAAAAAGGAGCCUAGGCCGUCACCAUGUUCCCCAAAUAGCAGAACACCUCCCUCCUUCCCACCUUCUCUCCCGUGGCACAGAAUACGUUUUACCAGGGAUCGGUCACUGCUGAGCUGUCGUCACUUAAUGUGGCUUUGACAGAAUAGUUGGUCUGGAAAUCUUAUUUUCAAUUAAAUGACCUUAUUGAACUGCCUUGGUUUUGAAAAGAUUCCAUUAGGAUGGCUAAUUAUAUAGCAGUUGCUCCAAGGAGAUGCUGGCACUCCAUUUCAGCUCUUAAGUAAUUCGAAUCAAAUGCUGUCUUCUUUCCUCCUUGGAGCUGUGAGCGACCGUCUUCCUCUCACACUGCAGGCUUCUCGUGAGUUAUUUUUGGAAAUCCAAGUCAAAACAGCAAUUUUGGCAGAGGCCAUUUCUAGCCUAGCAGAGUAAACCGUAUGUACUGAUAAAAACAGCCGAAGAGUCAGUGCCUUUAAAAAGCAACUAAACCAUCUCCUUCUGUGGGGGUUAAAUUUGGGGGACCUCCAAACUGUCCUUUGUACUGUCCUAUUCCUUCGUGAGCUCUAACUGAAGUCAAAGACAUUGGAAUUCCUUUAAGAUUAGCAAAGCUUUGUCCGUUUGCAAACUGUCAUCAUGGUCAUUUUGUUUCAAGGUGGCAGGCCUUGGCAGAAUUUACCAGGCACUCUGUUUUGGCCUCUGGAUCUCCCCUGAAACGUGGAAAUCACUUUCUGUUCCCAUUCUGUGCUGUUUGCUUCUGUCACCAGAGCACUCGCGACAUUCCUCGCGACAUUCCUCGUUACGCAUACCAAGCAGUCAGAUCUUCCUGCUCACCCGUUAGAACGGAGCUUCUUGUGGCCAGGGGCUGUGUUUUUCAUCUUAUUUCCUUCCUGGCCCAUAAUAGAUGCUCAAAUAGUUGGAUGAAUAGAUAGACUAGAUAGAUGAAUGAAUAGAAUCCUAUUUCUAUUUUUCUCCUUUUU